GGUUAGGUAACAUAAAGGUUAAUGUAUAAGACUGCAAAUCUUGUAAUGGCGGUUCGAUUCCGCCCCUAACCU
rnacentral:tRNA from 1 species